UGGGGAAUAUUGGACAAUGGGCGCAAGCCUGAUCCAGCCAUGCCGCGUGUGUGAAGAAGGCCUUUUGGUUGUAAAGCACUUUAAGCGAGGAGGAGGCUACUUGGAUUAAUACUCUAGGAUAGUGGACGUUACUCGCAGAAUAAGCACCGGCUAACUCUGUGCCAGCAGCCGCGGUAAUACAGAGGGUGCGAGCGUUAAUCGGAUUUACUGGGCGUAAAGCGUGCGUAGGCGGCUUCUUAAGUCGGAUGUGAAAUCCCUGAGCUUAACUUAGGAAUUGCAUUUGAUACUGGGAAGCUAGAGUAUGGGAGAGGAUGGUAGAAUUCCAGGUGGAGCGGUGAAAUGCGUAGAGGUCUGGAGGAAUACCGAUGGCGAAGGCAGCCAUCUGGCCUAAUACUGACGCUGAGGUACGAAAGCAUGGGGAGCAAACAGG
rnacentral:rRNA from 1 species